rnacentral:lncRNA from 14 species
AAAGAGGCAAGUGCUAAAUCUGGAAAUGGAGAUACACCAGACAUCCUAGAAGGGGCAUCUGAAAAUUCAGAUGACAAAGAUGGAAAUUCUAAGACACAGGAGACUUCAAGUAUAUCAGAAGAGGAAGAAACUCAAGAGAAGACUGACAAAUUUAGAAAUGAAAGUUUUGAUGGUCAUGAUGAAGUGAUAACACUUUUACGAAAUGGAAGAGAUAACACAGAUUUCACAUCUGCUAGAAUUCAAGAGGAUGCACAGGAAUCAAACUGUAACAAAUGCCCAAACUUCAACAAGGAGACAGAUGAUCUACUAAGAGAAAAGGCAGCUACUGGAAAGGCCAUACUUCCUGAACUGGAUCAAUAUGCUGAAACUAAACAAACCAAACUGGAUACACUGGAGAAACUUUGUCUUGAUGAAUUGCCUGAUUUAGAAGACACUGAUGGAAAUGAACUUCCACCAGAAGAGGAAAGCUUUGUUAAAAAGCAGGAAUAUCACCCAAAGAUUGAAAUAAUUUCUGAAAUGACAAAUGACAGUGAUUCAGCAUUAGAGGAAAAUGAUAAAAGCAUGUUUGAGAAUUCAGAAGAAGUUCCAACAGCAAACUUUUCAAAUGCGUGUAAGAUACAUAAAGAGCAUGGAAAGGAGCACAUAAGACCCCUUGUUGAAAGCUUCUUUACACAGCCUGCUAAUUCCAAAAGAUACCAGGAGAUCAAAGAUCAACAAACAAGCCCUUCAAGACCCUUGAUACAAGAGAUUAACACUGAGCCCAAGGGUAAUCUACUCUUGUCACCAGUCUACAAGCAACCAGCUGACCCAAGCCAAACAGAAGAGGAUGGGAAUGGCAGAGAUGGAGAAGCACAGUACCCAGCUGAGAGUGAAGGAUAUUCUCACGAGGCAUGGGACAAGGGCGGUGAGAGUGGUUUAGAUUAGUCACUUCGAAAAAAAUCUCCAAGUAUUCAGGGCAGCUGGCAGCAUUCACUCCUUUGUGAGUGCACUAUUGUGUUACAGUUAAAUUAAUUUCUGUGAUGUCAUUUUUUCCCUUGCAUCCUAGGAAUUACUUGGUUGAAUGUUUAUUUCUUAAGGUUUCAUUACAUAUGUACUUUCAGUGCAUACUGUAACAUGUUUCUCUCACUUGAACUAAAUAAAGACUUUACUUGUAACCA